AAGAAGAGAGAAAAAAUUGUGAGAAAAACUAGUUGAAAAAUUCAAAAAAAAUUCAGAGAAGAGAAUUGAGCAUGGACAAACCUUUCUCACCAUCCUGUGACUUUAAAACAGUGAGUAUUUGUGUCGUAAAGAGUUGGAGAUUUGGUGUCCUGAAGUUGAGAAUCACCCAUGUUCUUCAGCCUUUGAUUUUGAUCGGUUAAUUCGUGGUUAGCUUGAAGAGAGACAACCAGUCAAGUUUAAUUAGUUGAGUAAAACCGAUGGCCAAGGAGAGUAUUCGGAUCAGCCGGAUCCUUGUGAUGAUUCUGAACCGAGAGUGAUCCAGAAGUGAAGUGUGAUUAGCUUGAGCUCGAGUCUAGUCUUCCUUAGCCAAUCUCAUGGAUUUAAAGGUAACCAGUAGGUGGGAGACCUUUACUCUAGGACGGGAAG